GAUGAAGAACGCAGCGAAAUGCGAUAAGUAAUGUGAAUUGCAGAAUUCAGUGAAUCAUCGAAUCUUUGAACGCACAUUGCGCCCGCCAGUAUUCUGGCGGGCAUGCCUGUUCGAGCGUCAUUACAACCCUCAGGCCCCCGGGCCUGGCGUUGGGGAUCGGCGGAAGCCCCCUGUGGGCACACGCCGUCCCUCAAAUACAGUGGCGGUCCCGCCGCAGCUUCCAUUGCGUAGUAGCUAACACCUCGCAACUGGAGAGCGGCGCGGCCAUGCCGUAAAACACCCAACUUCUGAAUGUUGACCUCGAAUCAGGUAGGAAUACCCGCUGAACUUAAGCAUAUCAUAAGCGGAGGA
rnacentral:misc_RNA from 1 species